rnacentral:rRNA from 1 species
UACGUAGGGUGCAAGCGUUGUCCGGAAUUAUUGGGCGUAAAGAGCUCGUAGGCGGUCUGUCGCGUCUGCUGUGAAAACCCGGAGCUCAACUCCGGGCCUGCAGUCGAUACGGGCAGACUGGAGUUCGGCAGGGGAGACUGGAAUUCCUGGUGUAGCGGUGAAAUGCGCAGAUAUCAGGAGGAACACCGGUGGCGAAGGCGGGUCUCUGGGCCGAUACUGACGCUGAGGAUCGAAAGCGUGGGGAGCGAACAGG